rnacentral:rRNA from 1 species
UACGUAGGGGGCAAGCGUUGUCCGGAUUUAUUGGGCGUAAAGAGCGUGUAGGCGGCCAUACAGGUCCGUUGUGAAAACUGGAGGCUCAACCUCCAGACGUCGACGGAAACCGUAUGGCUAGAGUCCGGAAGAGGAGAGUGGAAUUCCUGGUGUAGCGGUGAAAUGCGCAGAUAUCAGGAAGAACACCGGUGGCGAAGGCGGCUCUCUGGGACGGUACUGACGCUGAGACGCGAAAGCGUGGGGAGCGAACAGG